UACUUCUAUAAUAUAAUUUUAGAACUCCGUAAUAACUGUUCAACGAAAAGAGGAGGUUUUAAUUUUGACGUAAACUCAGAAUCUGGGUUUUUUUUUAUCAAGUAUUUACUACAAAUGACAAAUCUUAACCUUAUUCAAAUCAGAACUCGGUGGCACCAAUCGGAGUUGUUUAUUGUCAGUGUAACCAAUAGAACCCAGAUAUAAAAUAAGAAAAAGGACGAGCAUACUUCGCACGUGGGUGCAGCUCCUGUUGUAAGU